rnacentral:siRNA from 1 species
UACUUCGCUCUCGUUUCGUUAA